rnacentral:lncRNA from 1 species
AAUAUUUAAUUACUUUAAAAUAAAUUUACAUCCGCUGCUCUUUAAAGUUUUUAACAUAGAUGUACAAUAAAAAACUUGAUAGGUGAUCCACGUGUUAGGCGACAAAUGUCACAGUCGUACUGUGAAUAACAACCCUCUUAUACUUCUCAUCCCCAAAAAUGUUUUCAGUGUUUGAACAAACAAAGGCCUUUAAGUUUUAUAUAUUGGGUCCCCCACCUAUGCAGAUUCGUGACGUGUCAAGAACAUGUGGUUUCUCAUCUCAUCUUCACUAAAGGCCGUAGGUGGCAAGCGAAAUAAUUGCCCAAACUUUCAUUCAUUUGUGCGUUUAUUCAUUUGCCACAAUAUUUCAAGACUUUCAAGGGUGAUGAUGGCAUUAAUUUUACGGAGAAUCAUCAUCGUAAAAAUUCUCACAUAUCUUCGCACGUAUGACUAAUUUAAAAUAUAUGUCUUACUGUCAAAACUCUUUAAGUAUUAAUUAAAAUUUUGAUGUUUUUCUAAUAGAAACACUUUUAGAAAGUGUGCAUAAGUAGAAGCGCUUCUUAUAGAAGUCAUCUCAAACGAAUUUUAAGAACGUAAGGUAAAUAUUAUAUCUACAUAUAGACUUACCUCAAACCAAAAGAAUUUUAAAUUUGGAUAAAUAUUGUGUAAUGAUGUGCAUUAUUCUUGAGAUUCUUAACACAAUGUCUCAUACUCACAAAAAGCAAAAAAGGGAAAGAAAAAAAAUGAUUGACAUACGAAAGCCCUGAAUGAUAAUGCAGAACAAUCUAGAGUAUAAUGCAGGACAAUCAAUUAUGGAAAAUCUUGAUAGUACGAGCGAAAACUAGAUUAAUCAAGCCGAAAAAUUCAACGAGUAGAAAGGGAUGAGACAUGACUCAUGAGCCUUGACACCAGUCAAAAAAAUACAUUUUAAAAAAAAAACGUCAUGAAUGAAAUCAUAAGACUCCUCACACAAAACAAAUUACCCUCAACUUAUAACAAUUUCAAAAACAGAAGGACUAUUGAUAUAAUAAGAAGCCAAUCUCGAUAAGGACACCUCAUCUUUCACUUUCACCCAAAUUGUUAGCUUAAUUGACUCCAUUACAUGCUUGACGCACAUAUCCAAUGACUUUAUGUAACAAGUAAGAACUUGGAAUCCAAUGUUCAAUUUUCAAUGUCAUCAACCACAAGGAAGAAAGAAAGAAAAGACUACUCUAGGUGACUGUGCUCUACCUAUUAGCCAUUUAUUUACAUAAAUUAAUAACAGUUGAAAAUACAUGCUAAUUAAGAAGAUAGAAAUUUCCCCAUUACUAAUUUUAAGUAGUUCAGAUUGCAUGGGGGCUCAUGGAAUUUUAGUCCAUUAAGCUAAGCAAUCUUACCCUUUUGGCUCUCUCUCUCUCCCUCCAAUUGGAAGAUGGUUCCUCCAAAGUCUAAGGCUUAAAUAAGCCCAAACUUUGAGGAAAUAAAAUAAGGAAAAUAUUGGUUCUUUCUGAUAUCAAUUUCCACAAG